AGGGGCGCGUGGCUCCGCCCCGCCUGCGGCGCGCGCUCCGGAGGGAGGCGGGGCCCGGCCCGCUCGCGCUCCAGGGCAGUGCGGGAGGAGCGGCAUGGCUCGGCACGGUACGGCACGGUGCCCGCAUGACACAUGGCCGCUUCCAGCCUGCGCCGCCGAUACGGAUUGAACUUUAGUCUCCCAGCAAUUAAGGUGCCUGAAACUGCACUUCAUUAAUGGUUGUUAUGCAAUAAAACCGAUAAAACUGCCCUUAUUUGCAAUAUAAAAACGCAA